GGUUCAUCAAUACAAGACAUCAAUACUGUCCAUCUCUGGGUUCAUCAAUACUGUCCAUCUCUGGGUUCAUCAAUACAAGACAUCAAUACUGUCCAUCUCUAGGUUCAUCAAUACUGUCCAUCUCUAGGUUCAUCAAUACUGUCCAUCUCUGGGUUCAUCAAUACUGUCCAUCUCUGGGUUCAUCAAUACUGUCCAUCUCUGGGUUCAUCAAUACUGUCCAUCUCUGGGUUCAUCAAUACUGUCCAUCUCUGGGUUCAUCAAUACUGUCCAUCUCUGGGUUCAUCAAUACUGUCCAUCUCUAGGUUCAUCAAUACUGUCCAUCUCUAGGUUCAUCAAUACUGUCCAUCUCUAGGUUCAUCAAUACUGUCCAUCUCUAGGUUCAUCAAUACUGUCCAUCUCUAGGUUCAUCAAUACUGUCCAUCUCUAGGUUCAUCAAUACUGUCCAUCUCUAGGUUCAUCAAUACUGUCCAUCUCUAGGUUCAUCAAUACUAUCCAUCUCUAGGUUCAUCAAUACUGUCCAUCUCUAGGUUCAUCAAUACUGUCCAUCUCUAGGUUCAUCAAUACUGUCCAUCUCUGGGUUCAUCAAUACUGUCCAUCUCUGGGUUCAUCAAUACAAGACAUCAAUACUGUCCAUCUAGGUUCAUCAAUACUGUCCAUCUCUAGGUUUAUCAAUACAAAACAUCAAUACUGUCCAUCUCUAGGUUCAU